rnacentral:lncRNA from 1 species
CUCACCUUCAUUUUACGUCUCAAAUCUUGUGGAAGAUCUGAUCUUAAAACCGUGGCCCUGGUUGGGUUUCGGUUGGACACUGCGGGACCUGAGUGUUAACAGCAGAGUGCCCAGAAAUGGCGGGACUCUGCUUUGUCUCUGAAAGUCGCGGAGGAGUGCAGGGGAGAAGCGCUCAGGGCUGUGCAAGUUGUUCAUUGGUUUAUACAAAAUAGGGUUGCUGGGGAAGGAGCGAGUCUGGAGAAAGGAAACUCCUGAUUACGUUCAGAAAUGCGGAGGGAGAGAAGCGGGCAGUUCGAGGUUAUUCGUGUUGCGGGGGAUGGAGGUGACAGCUCCAGGGGAGGUCUGAGGCACUUCAGCUUUUAGAGAUAGGGAAAAGGGAGAAAGAGGCUGGGAAAGAAUGAGGAGGAGAGGCAGAAGCCCAGGAGGGUGGCUGGAGGAGGCGAGGCAUUGAGGGUGUGGCUAUGGGGCAUAUAUUUUGUAUCUGGAGAGUGGAGUCUCUGCUUUCUGAUCCCCUUGUGAGCCUUGUCCCUCUGCCACACCAUUAUGCCAUGAUGUUCUACCUUACUUCAAGCCCUGAGGAAUGGAGCUAGGGAUCAAACCCAGGGCUUCAAGGUAAGAGCUCUAUCAUGGAGCUAGCCUUCUAUGGACUAAGAUCUCUGAAACCAUGAGUCUUAUCCUCCUCUACAAUUGGGUCCUUUUAGUCCCAGAAGCAAAAAAAAAAAAAAAAAAAAAAAGAACACACACACACAAAACAUUUGGCAGCCCUUCUUGCGCACAGGAUUAAAAAUCCAAACUCUUUAGCAAGACCUUCCAUGAUUCGACCUGUUUUGGAAGCUUGCAGGAGCUCAACACUUUGUGGACAGGAGGAUUUUCUCUUUCCUUGAAUGUUUGUCACAUUUUUGUGUACACAGUGAAGGUGGUCAAGAAACAUCUGGAAGCCUAUCAGGGUAUUUUCCAUAUUCUGUUCAGUUCUUUGUGGCCUGUCUUGGCUUCUCUAUUGGAGAAUAGCUUCUGGAAGGUGGGGGCAGAGGUGGGUCUGGGUGUACCAGUCGGGCCCCCAGCUGCAGUGACAGCUUUCAGUGUUUAGACUUCUGAACAUUCAUGCCCCUGUCAGGUGUGGAUACAGGACCCAGGUUUAGAAAAGUGUUUUAUUAUGAGUGAAGGAUGCACAAGCAAAGUAAGAUGGGUUACUGCCCUCAGGGCCAGGGUCUGAGCCUCUCAGGCUCCUGCCUAGCCCCAGGCGAAUCCUCCAGCCUCCUGUUAAUUUGUGGGAAUCUCCUCUUCUUUCAACACCCCCUCCCCCAGUGCUUUUUGUUAAGGACAAGUAGAGGUGGUGCAUGCCUAUAAUCCCAGCCCCUCAGGAGCCUGGGCAGGAGGAUCACAAGUUCAAGGCUAGCCUCAGCAAAUUAGUGAGGUCCUGUCUCAAAAUAAAAAUGACUGGCCUGGCACGGUGCCACACCCUGUAAUCCCAGUGGUUUGGAAGGCUGACGCAGGAGGAUCGUGAGUUCAAAGCCAGCCUCAGCGCCUCAGCAAGACCCUGGCUCUAAAUAAAAUAUAAAAAGGGCUGGAGAUAUGUUCAGUGGUUAAGCCCCUUUGGUUCAAUCUCUGGUACAAAAAACAAAGAGAGAAUUGCCUCCCAAAGAGUUGCCUGAGUAGGAGAAUUGCAAAAGAAAACAGAAGAGUGAAGGACAGUUGGGAACAUUUUGCUGACAAAGUCAGAAAAAGAAUUUUUGAGCACGUUUGGACAUUGCUUUAUAGCUAAGAGUUGUAAAUGAGCCUCCUUGGUUGAGUGUGGAUGAUUAAAGCUUUACAUGAGUCCACUAUGGAACUCAUGGAACUUUACAUGAGUUUCUUGUUUGAGCAAGAAGGGUUAGUUUUUUUAUUUUAUGAAAUAGAGAAUCCCUAUCCCAUCUGAACAUAUAUUUAACAGGUUUGAAGGGGACCUGAGUUAGUGUCAGCUUCACAGAAGUUAUAAUGUCUCUGUCUUAUUCUGGGAAGGAGUGUGGGUAGUCCAUCUUCAUAUUCCCUGUAGUUCCUGGAAUACUGCUUAAAUUAGACCAACUCUAGAUAGAGCAAAGUGGAGAGAGGGGAAGGGAGGGGGAAUGGGGGUAGGAAGGACAGUGGAAUGAGAGGGACAUUAUUACCCUAAGUACAUGUAUAAAGACAUGAAUGGUGACUCUUCUUUGUGUACAACCAGAGAAAUGAAAAUUUGUGCUCUAUAUGUGUAAUAUGAAUUGUAACUCAUUCUGCUGUCAUACAUAAUAAAUUAAAAUAAAAGUAAAAAAUUAAAAAAGACAAAAAAAAAGAAUACUGCUUAAAAAGAUUGCUUUGUUCAUAUUCUGUGAACACUCCAACCAAUGGACAAAGAUGCCUUUACCAAUUUGGCCACCAGAUGGCAGUAUGUAACCUCUGAUAGAUUGUCCUAAACUCAGGACAGCAGGAUUUUCCUACAGGGGUUGAGUGGGGUGUGUAGAUAAAAGACAAGGGGUAGGGAUGAUGCUUUGACAUGGAGAAUCCUUUGUGGAAUAGGGAAAAACUUUCCAGAAGAAUUUCUUUUAUCACUUAUUUUUCUCAUUGAUUUUUUUCUAGGACAAUAUUCCUGUGCAUUUAUAUUUUUCUCUUCAUCUUUUAUCCACAGUAAUUCUGAAAUAAUACAAGAUUCUAUAGCUUACCUGGUCCAAAUCUUCUCUUUCAAACACCAAGACUUCUAAUUGGUGCAUAAGGAGACAUAUAGGAACACCAACUUUUUUUUUUUCUCCACUUAAGGAACAUCUAUAUUUUUUGAGCACCUACUGUGUGUCAGACAUUUACACAUGAGGCCACUUUUAUUUUUCACAAUGACCCAUAUUAAUGAUAAUGUUAACUCCAUUUUACAAGUGAGAAAUAAAAUAAUUGGUUUCAGAACAAGGUUAUGGCAGAGUCAGGGUCUGAACCUCCAGACCCUUGGCCUCCCUGCUCAUGCACGUAAUAGUGUGCCUCAUCUGAGACACUGUUAACCUUUGAUACUGGAAAAUUCUUUUAUGAAGGGGGUGGUGUGGGCUGUAGGACAUUCAGUAGUGGCCUCCAUCCACUAGAUACCAAUAACAUCCUCUCCUCCCCUGUUGUGACAAGCAGAAAUAUCUUCAUUCAUUGGCAAAUGUUCUCUGGGCUGCCAAACCAUCACCAGGUAAGAACUCCUGAUGUAGAGGAGCUCUGGCUGGACUUCUGCCUAAUGUAGACUGGGGUCAUCUUGGAGCAGGAAGACAGGUUCUUACAGAGAGUCUAUGGAGCCAAGGAGACUUGCCUACCUAUAGCACCUCACUAUUCUACCUCCUAGGGCCUACACAGGCCUGUUGCCUGUUCUCCUGACUGCUGGUAUGUGCAUUUCUACCCCGGAGAGGUGGCCAGGGAGUCUGUUGAGUGAGGUGGGAGGGCAUUGAGCCAGACAGGUGAACUGGUUGUCUGCAUUCAGAUAUGCCUGGAAGAACCCUCUGAUGGAGGAUGUUGAUGGAGGUGGGAGGAGAAGGGAGAUGUGAUAUGGACUAGGGGCCUCACUUGUAUCUUGACUCAGCCUGUAAUAUUAGGGUGGGCCUGCUCUAAAACCCUGCUGCUGGAGUAGUUGGUGGGAAAUGGGUUGUAGGGGACAAUUUUUUUUUGUACUGGAGAUUGAACCCAAAGGGGCUUUACCACUGAGCUACAUUCCCAGUCCUUUUGCUUUUUUGAGACAGGGUCUUGCUAAGUUGCUGAGGGUGUUGCUAAAUUGCUGAGACUGGCUUUGAAUGUGCAAUCCUCUAGUCUCAGCCUCCUAAAUUGCUGGGAUUACCGGCAUGUGCCACCAAUGUUGGGUAAUACUAUUUUGGGGGGGUGGGAGUACUGGGGAUUGAACUCAGGUGGACUCAACCACUGAGCCCUAUCCCCAGCCAUAUUUUGUAUUUUAUUUAGAGACAGGAUCUCACUGAAUUGCUGAGGCUGGCUUUGAACUUGUGAUCCUCCUGCCUCAGCUUCCUGAUCUAUUGGGAUUACAGGCACAUGCCACCACUCGGGUUGGUAAUUUGUUUUUGACACAUCAGUGUGAAGACCUCAGAAUCAUCAUAUUUCCAACACAGAAAGGCUCUUUGGGUCUCACGCUUUCUCCUGAACCACAUUCCUGAAUAGAAAAUUUCACUGCAUUUAUUUCUUACUUGGGGGUCAUUUCCCACAAAGAACAGUUGUCAUUUUUCUCCUGGAAAAGUAGAAAGGAGUCAAACCAGUAAAGGUUCCUGAGAAGUGGCACUCUGCCAGGCUCUCUCCAGCUGAGGGAUCUUCCCCCCAGCAGCCUCCUGGUGGAGGAGUGCUCAAAACAACGAAUUUCAUCCUCCCCCAAAUGGAAAAACUCAAGGAAUUCACAUUGAAAUGACCUUCAGGUAUACUUGCUCACAAGCUAUACAGAUGUGGAAAUGUUUAACUCAUUUGGAAUUACUUUAAGUUCAAAGUCUAUCUGCAUCUCCAUUAAGGGAUAUGUAUAAUUUUGCUUUCAAUUUUUUGAACAUUACACCCAUAUGCUGGAAACCAAGGCAACGAUUGCAACCAGUGGCAAAUGUAAAAAGACAAGCCAGAUUAAUUUCUUCAUUUAUUCAUAUGAUAACCGUAUUCUGAGCACAUAGUUAUGUGUUGGUGUCAGGUUAAGCAUUAGAUAAUAAAAACAUAUGCUUUGACUUGUAAAGAUCUACAUCAUGGAAUAUAAAGUUAAAAAAAAAAAAAAGCUCACAGCGUAUUUUACAAGUACACAUAUGCUAUCAUAUAUUUGUAUAAAUGUUGUUGGGAUUCACUGUGCACCAAAUAUUAUUCAAAAGCACUCAUAUAUGAUGAUUGGAUUUAAUCCUCACAUUUAUGAGGUAUUAAUAUUCUCCCCAUUUUGUAAAAGAGAAUGUAGACUUAGGGAGGGUAAAUCACAUAGUCAAGGUCAUGCACGUGACCUGAACCUUCAGAGUUGGAAUUGACUCUGAUUACAGAAUAUGCUUUUCCAAAAAUGUGUCCACAUGUAAGACAGUACAUUGAGACUGUUGAAAGAAGUUGUCUGUGCUGUUUAGAAUUAUGGCAAGAGGGGUUGGGGAUGUGGCUCAAGCGGUAGCGUGCUCGCCUGGCAUGCGUGCUCGCCUGGCAUGCGUGCUCGCCUGGCAUGCGUGCGGCCCGGGUUUGAUCCUCAGCACCACAUACAAACAAAGAUGUUGUGUCCGCCGAAAACUAAAAAAAUAAAUAAAUUUAAAAAAAAUUAUGGCAAGAUGCAGAGAUUAUAUUCUGUAUUUUCCAUGUUUUUAAAUGCAUUUAGAGUAUAUUUGUCAAGUUCCAAAAAAAUUGAGAAUUUGAUUAUGCAGCAUUUAAUUUAUAGAAUACUCUGGGUACAAUUAUCACCUGCAUAAUAUGUAUAAUUCCAACCUAGGAAUAUGGCAGAUAUUUCCACAUAUAUUCAAGUUAUUCUGCCCUGCCCCUAAAUUGUCAUGGUUUAAAAUUGUUUUAAUGCACAGAUCGCACACAUUUCUUCUUAAGUUAAUUGUAGAUAUUUCAUAGUUUUGUUGCUGCUUCAAAAUGGAUCCCCUAACCCAUUUCCUCUCCUAAUUGGAAAUUGCUAUGGUAUGCCAAGGUAAUUGAUUUGAGGUAUUAAUUUUCUACUCAGGCAUUGAAGUGAACCACUUUUUUUUUUUUUAGGUGAAAUUCUUAUAGCACAAAAUUAACCACUUUAAAAUGAACAGUUCUUUGUGAAUUUAGUUCAGGCACAAUGUUGUACAACCACCAUCUCUGUCUAGUUCUAAAACAUUUAAUCACCCUAAAAUAAAACUCCAUGCUCACGAAGCUAUUAUUCUACACAAAUCAUUGUAUUUUUCUAAAGUGAUGCUUUAGAAAUGGGGCUAUGUAACCCAUGCAUGUCAUUGUGUCAUGUGGCAUUGGAGGUGGUUGUGAUGAUGCUAUGAUGCGGCAAGCUAUAGAUUUCCUUGUCUCCUACAUUGUCCCAUGCCCAUCUCUACUUUUCUCUCAUAAUCUUGUAUUGUUGUUGGAGAAACAAGUUUUUUGCCCUGUAAGUUUCCUGCUUUUUGCUGAUUUCAUAUCUGUGUUGUUAUUUAACCUGUUCCUCUAUUUCUAUGUUUCUUUUAAAUCGAAUCUUGGAUGUUAGCUUGAAGUCAGAUCCAUUCCAGAGAUUUUUGUUUCUUCUGAUUGUUUUUUAUUUUGCAAACAGGUUUGCAUGCCUGUAAUCCCAGCUUGGGAGGCUAAGGCAGGAGGAUGGGAAGUUCAAAGCCAGCCUCAGCAACUUAGCAAGGCCUAAGCAACUCAAGUACCUGUCUCAAAAUAAAAACAAUUAAAAGGGUUAGGGAUGUGGCUCAGUGGUUAAGUGCCUGUGGGUUCAAGUCCUGGUACCACAAUAAAUAAAUAAAUAAAUACUGGGAAACCCCAUAAAUGAGGGAUUUUCCAAUAUGGAGCCUCACUCAGAUUGUAAUUAGCCCUUCCCAUUUCCAAGAGAAAGCUGAGGGUUUGCCCCACCUGCUUCCUGGGAUACUUGCCCCUUUUCCCUUUGGGAUGAACUCCUAAUAAUCCUGGGGGCUUAAAAAAAAAAAAGCCCUGGAUGUAUGUUUUAGUCUGAGGCAGGGGAAUGAAAUGACUCUAGGGUUUCUGCAAAUCUUAGACACAUCACUACCCUACCCUCAGCUUACUUGGAAUAAACAGUUCAAACAAUUCACACCAAAAUGACCCUGAGCCCUCUUUUGGCCUGUCACAAGCCUGGGUCUUGCUGCCAAGGAUAAUUGGUGCUUCCGCACGGCUGGAGCAGAGCUACGUGCUGCCAGGGCUGGCCAAGAAGCCUGGGGGCUUGGAGGAGGCAGAGGCGUGGUGGUGGGGGCAAGCAGGCCUGGAAUAUCGUUUGGUUUGCCAUGGUCAACACUCAGGGACCAACAUUUGCAUAAGAUCUGCAUAUUAUUCAUAUAAACUAAAAUUUAUUCUUAAAUUUCCCACAUUAAAAAAUUAUAUUUAGGGCUGGGGAUGUGGCUCAAGCGGUAGUGCGCUCGCCUGGCGUGCGUGCGGCCCGGGUUCGAGCCUCAGCACCACGUACAAACAAAGAUGUUGUGUCCGCCGAGAACUAAAAAAUAAAUAUUAAAAAAUUCUCUCUCCCACUCUCUCUUUUAAAAAAAUUAUAUUUAAUGAUACAAGAAACGCAUGAAAAUCUGCCCAGUCUUUUUUUUUCUUAAUAUUUUUCCAGUUGUAGAUGGACACAAUACCUCUAUUUUAUUUGUUUAUUUUUAUGUGCCGGGGAUCAAACCCAGUGCCUCAAACGUGCUAGGCAAGCGCUCUGCCACUGAGCCACAAUCCUGGCCCCUGCCUAGUCUUUUUGCUGCUAUUGUAAAUCUGCUUUUUUUUUUUUUUCUCAUUUUCUAUUUGUCUGUCUCCAGGUCCAAGGUUGUUUCAUGUGUGUGCGUGCAUGCAUGUGUGCGUGUGUGUGUGUGUGUGUGUGUUGAUGUUGAUUUGGUUGCCAUGCUGCAUGCCCUGUGUGAAUUUAAGUUGAAAUUUCUGAAAAGCUGAAUGUGGUAACUAAAUUAAGUAUUCAACGAUUUGCCAAAGUCGUGAGUAAAUAUGAAUAUGGAGAGCAACAUUUUGUCAUAGAAAAUAGAAUCUCACCAAGGUUUAAAGCUGAAUCAAGCACCAGGAAGCUGCCAUAUGGGCAAAGUAGUCACAAAAAUGUGGAACUUGAACCCAGGAUUAGAUAUAUACAAACAGAUCUCAGGCAUAUAUGGCAACUCAUUUUCAUAUGUUAUAGGUAGGGCCUGGCCUAUACCUUUGAUCAUGAUUUUAAAUAAAACUGGUUAAUAAUUAUUCCAUUUUGUAGGAGUGUGCUUGUCAGAGAUGUUGGCAGAUCAACACUGCCCCUGCUCUCACUUUGUCUCUUUCUGUUUAAAUUUCACAAAGUGAAAAAAUUUGAGACAUAUACAAAAACAGAAAAAAGUUCAUUAAAAUUGAUGAACCCCCACUCAACUUCAACAGCCAUUGAUAACCAACUUUGUUUCAUCUCCACCUCAUCUACUUUCCCUUUCCCCUUAUUUUCAAGUAAACUUAAGUCAUUAUAUUAUUUCAUGUAUAAAUAUUCUCUUAUGGAUCUCUAAAAGUUAAGGACUAACAAAAAUAACCCAGUACCACUUUCACAUCUAAAUAACUUUACUACACCUUAAUUAUCAGUGCACACACUUCCCUGAUUGUCUUAUAAUUUUUUCAGGUUUGGCCAGGCACGAUGGUACAUGCCUAUAAUCCCAGCAGCUCAGGAGGAUGAGGCAGGAGGAUCAAAAGUUCAAAGCCAGGCUCAGCAACUCAACGAGGCCCUAAGCAACUCAGCUAAAAUAUGUCUCAACUAAAAUAUAAAAAAGGGCUGGGGAUGUGGCUUGGUGGUUAAGCGCCCUGGAUUCAAUCCUUGGUUAAAAAAAAAAAUGUUCUGGUUUGUUUGAAACAGGUUACAGAAGCCCAUACAUUGCAAUUGGUUGAUAUGGUUUUUAUUUUCUAUUAAUCUGUAGGUACCAUAUCCAUCUCUAUUUUUCUCUCAUAAUCUUAUAUUGUUGUUGGAGAAACUAGUUCUUUUCUCUGUAAGUUUCCUACUAUUCGAUGAUUUCAUAUCUGUAUUUUUUUUAAUUUGCUUUUAUUUUUAAAAUACAUGACAGUGGAAUGCAUCACAAUUCUUAUCACACAUAUGGAACAUAAUUUUUCAUAUCUCUGUAUAUAAAGUAUGUUCACAAUUUAUGUCUUCAUACAUGUACUUUGGAUAAUGAUGUCCAUCACAUUCCACCAUCAUGUGUUGUUGUUUAACUUGUUCCUCUAUUCCCAUGUUUCUUUUAAAUGGGGUCUUGGAUGUUAGCUUGAAGUCAGAUCCAUUCCAGAGAUUUUUGUUUCUCCUGGCUAUUUUUGGUUUUGCAAGAUUAUCUUUUUUUUUUUUUUUUUGGUACUAGGGAUUGAACUCAGGGGCACUCAACCACUAAGCCACAUCCCCAACCCUAUCUUGUAUUUCAUUUAGAGACAGGGUCUUACUGAGUUGCUUAGCUCCUCGCCGUUGCUGAAGCUGGUUUUGAACUUGUGAUCCUGCUGCCUCAACUUCCUGAACUGCUUGGAUUACAGGCGUACACCACCUCACCCAGCUAUUUUGCUGUUCUUUCUAGCUGAAUAAAACUCCAUUGUGUAUAUUUAUCACAUUUUCUUUAUCCUUUCAUAUGUUGGUGGACAACCAGACUGGUUUCAUAACUUGGCUAUUGUGAAUUGCCCUGCUAUGAACAUUGAUAUGCGUAUAUCCCUGCAGUGUGAUGAUUUUAGGUUUUUUGAACAAAUACCAAGGAGUGGAAUAUCUGGGUCAUACAGUGGUUCCAUUCCUGGUCUUUUGAGGAAACUCCAUGCUGAUUUUCAUAGUGGCUGUACCAAUUUGUACUCCCAUCACCAAUGUGUAAGUGUACAUUUUCCCUCAUAUUCUUGCCAGCAUUUAUUACUUUUAUUUCUUAUGAUUACCAUUUUAACUGGAGUGAGAUAAAAUCUCAGUAUAGUUUUGAUUUGUAGUUCCCUGAUUGCUAAGGAUGUUGAACAUUUUUUUCAUAUAGUUAUUAGCCAUUUGUAAUUCUUCUUUUGAGAAAUAUCUGUUUUAUUUAUUUGCUCAUUUAUCAAUUGAGAUAUUAUUUUUUUGGUGUUAAGUUUUUUGAGUUCUUUAUAUAUUUGGAUGUUAAUCCCCUGUUAGAAGAGUAGCUGGUAAGAUUUUCUCCUAUUCUUUAGACUCUCUUUUCACAGUCUUGUUUUUACUCCUUAAUUGUUUCCUUUGCUGAAAAUGGGUAAUGAUUUUAAAAGGUGUUAUGAUUUAUCCUUCCAUUAAAAACAUGUAAAUAGGGCUGGGGAUGUGGCUCAAGCUGUAGCUCGAUCGCCUGGCAUGCGUGCAGCCCCAGUUCGAUUCUCAGCACUACAUACAAAGAUGUUGUGUCCGCCGGAAACUAAAAAAAAAAAAAAAAGUAAAUAUAUAUAUUUACAUCCUACUCUUUUCUGAAAGCAUAGUAAGCAUUCCUCAAUCCUCUUUUUUCUCCAUUUACACCACAUUCUAGAGAUCACUACAUCUUAUAUAGAUAUUUUGAUCCCUUUUUAUAGCUGUAAAGUAUUUACCAUGUGGGUAUCACAUGGUUUAUACAAGCAGUCCCUUAUUGAUGCAUGUUCCUUCCUCUCAUUUUUUGUCAUUAUAAGCAGUGUUGCAAACAAACGAUUUGUGCAUGUCUUUUCAUAUUUUUGCCAGCCCAUCUUUGAGAUAAAUUUCUGGGUGGAUUAUUGAUGAGUUAAAUGGUUAAGUGGCUUUUUAUUAAAUAUUGCCCUCUUUCCCUCCAUAGGGACUGCACCAUUUUUAUUUUCCACUAGUAUUUGAUGUCAAUGCUCAUUUCCCCACAGCUUCACCAACAGAAUAGGUUGUGUGGCAGAAUAGAAUUUUCAAAGGUGUCUGCAACAAUAUCCCACAUCCCAUAAAUUCUUUUCUAGAACCCACUUUUUCAUGAAGAUGUGAAGUCUCUCUUUCUCUUGAAACUGGGUAGGCCUUUUAAUUUCCUUGACCAAGAGAGCAGGGUGGAAGUGAUGCUACAUGACUUCUGAGACUGAGUCAUAAAAAUGCCAUGAACUUCUGCCUUGUUCUCUUGGGAAGCUGUCCUUGGAACCCGGUUACCAUUCUCAGAGGAAACCCACGCAACCCAUGGAAAGGUCCACGUAGAGCAUAAUCAAGGUCUCUGACCUGCUUCCUCAGCAAGCAUCACUUGCUAGCCAUGUGAGUGAGCCAUCUUAAAAGUGGAUUCUUUAGCUCCCAGGGGAACAGUCAUACCUGAGGCCACAUACAGUAGAGAAGAGCCAUCAGCCUGCAGAACCCUGACAAAUCAAUAAUUGUUGCUGUAAGCCACUGAAUCUAGGGGUUAUUUGUUACACAGCAAAUAAAUAACGGAUGUAGAUGUUACACUUUGGCUUCUUCCCACAAUGACAGGUGAGAAGUGUUAUCCCUGUGUGCUGUCAACUUGCAUUUCUCAUUUUGAGCAGGGCUGUACAUGUUUUCAAGUGGUGAGGAGCCAUUUGCUUUUCUUUUUAUAUUUUGUUUAUACUUCUAGCCUAUUUUUCUAUCUUGCUGUUGGCAUUUUUUAUUUUUAAAAGAUCUUUACAUUUUAGAAAUUUUUUAACCCAUCAUGAUAUCAAUUUGAAAUGUUUUUCUCAGUUUAUCAUUUUUCUUUUCACUUUGCUUAUUCUUUUAUAUAUAUUCUCCAUUUUCCCCAUUCUGUGAUAGUGGUAUUAUUAAUAGUUUUUCAUUUAAAAAUUCUUAACCAUCCAAGACAAAGAUUCAGAGAUCUGAAUCUGUUUUUUUUUCUUUUCAUUUUUUUAAAUUUGUUCUAAUUAGUUAUCUAUGACAGCAGAAUGCAUUUUGAUUCAUUGUACACAAAUGGAGCACAACUUUUCAUUUCUCUGGUUGUACAUGAUGUAGAGUCACGCCACAUGUGCAGUCAUACAUGUGCCUAAGGUAAUGAUGCUCAUCUCAUACCCCCAUCUUUUCUACCCCUCCCCCCGUACCCUCUCCUCUUCACUCCCUCCCCUUUGCCCAAUCAAAAUUUCUCCAUUUUCCCCCCGCCCAUUAUGGAUCAGCAUCCACUUAUCAGAGAGAACAUUUGGCCUUUGUUUUUUGGGGACUGGCUUCCUUCACUUAGUAUGAUAUUCUCCAGCUCCAUUCAUUUACCCACAAAUGCCAUAAUUUUAUUCUUUUUUAAUGCUGAAUAAUAUUCCAUUGUGUAUAUGUACCACAGUUUUUUUUUUAUCCAUUCAUGUGUUGAAGGGUAUCUAGGUUGGUUCCAGAGUUUAGCUAUUGUGAAUUGAGCUGCUAUGAACAUUGAUGUGGCUGUGUUGCUAUAGUAUGCUGAUUUUAAGUCCUUUGGGUAUAGACCAAGGAGUGGGAUAGCUGGGUCAAAUGGUGGUUCCAUUCCAAGUUUUCUAAGGAAUUUCCAUACUGCUUUCCAUAGUGGUUGCACCAAUCUGCAGUGUCAUCAGCAGUAUAUGAGUGUACCUUUUUCUCCACAUUAUUGCCAGCACUUGUUAUUGCUUGUAUUCUUGAUAAUUGACAUUCUGACUGGAGAUGAAAUCUUAGAGUAGUUUUGAUUUGCAUUUUAACAUUUUUUCAUAUAUUUCAUAUAUUGAUCAGCACCCAAAUAGACAUGUAGACCAAUGGUACAGAAUAGGAGACACAAAGACAAACCCACAUAAAUACAGUUGUCUCACACUAGACAAAGGCACCAUAAACAUGCAUUGGAGAAAAGAUAGCCUUUUCAACAAAUGGUGCUGAGAAAACUAGAAAUCCAUAUGCAGCAAAAUGAAAUUAAACUACUCUUUUCACCAUGCACAAAACUCAACUCAAAGUGGAUCAAGGACCCAGGAAUUAGAUUAGAGACCUUGCACCAAACAGAAGAAGAAGUAGGCCCAGGUCUUCAUCAUGUUGGAUUAGGUCCUGAAUUCCUUAACCAGAUUCCUAAAGUUCAAGAUAUAGAAUCAAGAAUUAAUAAAUGGCAUGGUUUCAAACUAAAAAGCUUCUUCUUAGCAAAGGAAACAAUCAGUAAUGUGAAGAGAGUGCCCAGAGAGUGGGAUAACAUCUUUACUACAUGCACAUAGGUAGAGCACUGAUCUCCAUGAUAUAAUAAAGGACUCAAAAAAAUAAAUAACUAAAAUAAUAAAUGGGCUAAGGAAGUGAACACUUUUUAGAAGAAGAUAUACAAUUGGUCAACAAAUAUAUGAAUCUCUUAUUUUUUGUGUCUAUUGCACGUUUUUAUAUUGCUUUGUUAGACAAUCUAAAAAUCUUUUAAUAGGUAAGUUGUGAAUAUUUAUACUACUGACAUGGUAAGUCUGUUUGGCUCAGCUCUGCUUUAUUAUGAUAUAUGUAAUUUAUCUCUAUUAUAUGAUUACAUAACUUUUACUAUGUAGACUUUUUCAUUCUCUUAUAUACAUCUUUUUUUAUUUAGGAAGCUUUUUUGUCCUAAAAGUUAUCUUUAUAUUCAUACUUUCAUAUAAUUCCCCUAGUCCCUGAUUCUCUCUCUUUUUGGAAGUGGCCGGUUAUUUUUGGUGUCAUAAUAUGAUUAAUAUUUAAAUUAGGUAGUAACUUCUCUUCCUUGUCUUUUCCUUUUCCACCUGCAUUAGAAGUAAUACUCUCGGGCUGGGGAUGUGGCUCAAGCGGUAGCGUGCUCGCCUGGCAUGCGUGCGGCCCGGAUUCGAUCCUCAGCACCACAUACAAACAAAGAUGUUGUGUACGCCAAAAACUAAAAAAUAAAUAUUAAAAAAAAGUAAUACUCUCUUACACUCAGAUCUACUUAGAAGGCAAUCAGCAAGCUUAUUCUUUUUAUCUACACUCCAUUUUUCCUCUUGUGUGAUAAUUGUAUUAUUUACAUUGCCAGAGCAUAUGAUCAUCAAAAGCUAUCCUACCUCACAAACAUCAUUUGGUCAUAAGUUUACAGAUAUUUUUAAUAUCUACUGCCAGUGCUUAUGUAACUUUCCAGUUAUUUUGAAACUAAUUUUCUAGUGGAUUCUUUUGGAAACAAUUACACCAAACAUAAUCCUAAAUUCUUGUAUUUAAGUUUUUCAGUGGUUGGGCUGGGAAUGUGGCUCAAGCGGUAGCGCGCUCCUCUGGCAUGCUUUCGGCCCAGGUUCGAUCCUCAGCACCACAUACAAACAAAGAUGUUGUGUCUGCCGAAAACUAAAAAAUAAAUAUUAAAAUUCUCUCUCUCUCUUUAAAAAAAAAAAGUUUUUCAGUGGUAGAGUGCUUGUCUGGUUUGCUGGUGGCCUUUCUACUUGAAGGUCAGUUUGGCUGGAUAUAAAAUCCAUAGCUCAUAGUUCUUUUCUUGAUUAUCUUAAAUAUAUUAUUCUGUUGUGUUUUGGCAUAAAACAACAUUGCUGUCAAAAAGUCUGGUGACAAUCUCAUUUUCUUUCCCUUAAAAGGGAUUUGGGCCUGGUGCAGUGGCUAAUUUGUUGGUUCCAGAUAGUUUUCUUUAUAACAUUUUUCUAGCAAACAACAAAGAAAUGGAUGAAUGAAUAUAUUAAGCAAUGAUCACUAAUGGCUGACAAUAUCACACACACAAAAGAAAUAAACAGGUAUAAGAUAGUCUUGCAAAACAAAAACAACCAAGAGAAACAAAAAUCUGUGGAAUGAAUCUGACUUCAAAUAACAUCCAAGAUUCAAUUUAAAAGAAACACACGGGGAGCCAGGUGUGGUGGCUCACUUCUUUAAUUCCAGCAGCUUGGGAGGCUGAAGCAGAAGGAUCCAUGAACUCAAAGCCAGCCUCAGCCACUUAAUGAGACCCUGUCUCAAAAGAAAACAUAAAAUGGGCUGGGGAUGUGGCUAAGUGGUUAAGUGCCCCUGGGUUUAAUCCCUGGUAUUUAACAAAAAAAAAAAGUGAUAUUUGGCCUUUUUGCUUGGAUAUUCAAACUAUCACUUUUUGUUGAUAUAUAUAUAUAUAUAUAUAUAUAUAUAUAUAUAUAUAUAUAUAUAUAUAUAAAAACAUAGAUAUCUCUCUAUAUAUAUCUCUCUAUAUAUAUCUCUCUCUAUAUAUAUUCCCAUUCCUCCCCCAAGUGAACUGAGGAAUUUUGGAGAGGGGGCUGAGUGGAGAGCUUCUAAGCUCUAGAGCUCCCUCUUCUGUUCUUUUUACAGAGUGACAAAAAAUAUGUAUGGUCUGUAUUUUCUGGGACUUGUUUUCUCUGCUCCAUUCCCCUACUUUUCUAUCCUUUGCUCCUGUUAUCGACUCUUGCUCUAUUUGGAUACAAUUUCCAGCAUUUUCUCUUCAGGGCUUUUUCUGGGAAGGAGCUUAGGCUUGUCAGUUCUGAGAGUUUAUAGAGCCCAGGCUGCUCCAGCACUGCAUGGUGCUCCCCUCAAUCGGACCCAUGAAUUGGAGGCUGCAGAAGCCCCUGUUCAGUUUCAACUAUUCUUCUUCGAUUGCCUUGCUGAAUUUUCCAGUGAAUUCUGGAGUGCUCCUUCCUUUUGUUCCUGCUGAAACCUGUGCCCGGUAAGUCUUGUGCUACUGAAGCUUUGUUCCCAUGCACAUGUACUUAUUGGCUUAUGGGGAUACUUUGUCACCUACUAUUGUAAUAUUGUCUCUGGGCCCUUCCUUUGGUCACCUCUGUUGUUCCAUCUAUGUUUAAGGAAGGUUAGGGAGAGCAAAAACUAUCCAUCAUCUUCCUGUAUCCAGUCUCUCAUCCCUACCUUUUAAUAAUAAAUUUUACUUGUUAAGACCGAUUUAUAGGAAAAUUGCAAAGAUGGUGCAUCGAGUUCCUGUCUAUUUGGUAUCCAGGUUUCUCUACUGUUCACAAAAUACAUUGGUAUGUACAUUUGGUAUAAUUGUUAGAAGAAAAACUUAGAGGAAAUUAAAUCCAACAGAGGUUAUUUGAACAAAGAAUCAUUCUUGAUGGCAGCACUCAGAAGCAGAAAGGGUUCAGAGAAUUCUGCCCUGAAAUGUGGGCAGGCUCAUUUUCAACAGAAGAUGUAGGUGAGGCUUGAUUGGUUGCAGCCCACGUUUGCCUAAUUUAGACUUGGUCUUAUUAGUUGGGCAGCCCCUGAUUGACUGAAGCUCUGCUGCUCUGACUGGCUGCCACCCAGCUAGUUGUUACAAAAAAUAUAUUCUUCAGUCAGGCUUUCUGUUUGCUUACUCAGGCUGCAGAUUGUUAUGUAGGAUCAAGUGUUCUCAGGCAGCCUCAGGCCAAAUUUAGCUUAAUUUAAAAUUACUAAUGAACCAAUAUUGAUACAUUAUACUUAACUUUAUUGGGGUUUCUUAGUUGUCACCUAAUGCUCUUUUCUGUUCCAGGAUGCCAGCCAGAUUUUAUAUUCCAGUUAGUCAUUGUGUCUUCUUAGGCUUCUUGGCUUUGACAGUUCCUCAGACUUUCCUUGAUUUUGAUGACCUUGAGUUUAGAGGAGUACUAUUCAGGUGUUUUGUAGAAUGUUCCUCAAUUGGGAUUUGUCUGAUUUUUUUUAAAAAAAAUAUUUUUAGUUGUAAAGGACACAAUACUUUUGUUUUAUUUAUAUAUUUUUAUGUGGUGCUGAGGAUCAAACCCAGUGCCUGACAUGUGCUAAGCAAGUGCUCCACCACUGAGCCACAAGCCCAGCCCCGGUCUGAUCUUUUUCUCAUCAUUUGAUAGAGGCUGUGGUUUACGAUGUAAAGGGCCAUUCUCAUCACAUUUAAUCAAGGGUAAAUAUUGGGUUUUGUUUUUAAAUAAUUUUUAGUUGUAGAGGGACACACAACAUCUAUGUUUUAUUUAUUUAUUCUUAUGCAGUGCUGAGGAUCAAACCCAGAGCCUCACUUGUGCUAGGCGAGCGCUCCACUACUGAACCAGAGCCCCAGCCCUAGGGUAGAUAUUGUUAACAUGACUUAUCACUGUUGAUGUUGAACUUGAUUGAUCACCUGGCAAGUGUAGCAUUUGUCAGGUUUCUUAACUAACUGUUUAGCCUCCUCCUUUCCAUACAGUCCUCUUUGGAAGGAGUCACACUGUAUAGCCUACAUCUAAGGAGUGAAAGUUAUGUUCUACCUUUUUUUUUUUGAACCCAGGAGCCCUUAACCACUGAGUCUCAUCCCCAGCUCUUUUAGUUUUUACUUUGAAUCAGGGUUUUACUAAGUUGUUUGGGACCUUACUAAGUUGCUGAAGCUGGCCUCUAACUUGUGAUCCUCCUGCCUCAGCCUCCUGAGCAGCUGGGAUUACAGACUGUGCCAUUGCACCUGACAUGCUCCACUGCACUUGACAUGCUCCACUUUCCUGAGGACAGAAUAUUUACAUAAAUUAUUUGAUAUUCUCUUGCAUGGGAGAUCUGUCUCUUCUUUCUUAUUUAUCUCAUCACUUAUCAAGAUAGAGUCCUGGAUAUUUAUUUUCUUCUGGGUUAAUCCAGUACUACUUUAUUUUGUUGAUCAAAUUGUUCCAGAUGGGGACAUUGGGAGCUCAUUUAGUUGGUUCCUGUGUUCCUUUGGUAUACUGCACCACUGUGUGUCUGUGUCUGUGUGAACAGCUCUCCUUAACCUUGUAGCACCAUAAGAUGCUUCAGCCUCAUCAUUUCUAUUUCCUGCCUGAGUCUUAGAAUCAGCCAUUUCCCAAAGAUCCCUGGUUCCUUCUGCUGGAGAAUGGUAUUAGAAACCAAGAGCUGGAUGCGAGGUGGACUCUCCCUCUCUUUUUACCCAGAUGAUGACCUAGUUUUCUGGGUCUCCCCACUCUCUCAGGGUACCAUUUCCUGUUUCUCUUCCUGCCUGGAUCCCAUAGCCAAGCAUUUUCGUUUCCUUCUCGCCAGCGCCCUCCACUCUGCCAUCCUUGACCACGCCGUGCACUUGCUCACCAGUUCACAAUCUUGGAUCACCUUGACUUUUUUCCUGCCCAGAGGUUGCCAGGUACUGAGAGGCCUGUUGAGCUCUCAAUAUGGCUUGGCAAACAUCCUUCUCUGGACAGCUGAUCUGCGCCACCGCCUUAUGCUCACUGACUUCCCAUGCUCUCAGCAAGAGCCAAGGCCUCCCACUUCACCAAGAAAUUAGAGACUAGGAGGAACUCAGUCCCUAAAUUUCUCUCCCUCCAAUUCCACACUUAGCACUUGUACCCACGUCCCUUUCCUCGUUUUCUCCCUUCCUGUCUUUCUCUCUCAUCUCUGAGAGCUUCUUUUUUUCCUGCCUUUCCUUCAGGCCAAUCUCCUCAUGAGCUCCAAUCACCCUGGGAAAGGUUUCUGUCUCCUCUGAUCUUCUCUAGAACUCUGUUCCAUCAGUUGUCUGGUUUUGCAUGUCUUCAAAUUCCUCUUCAUCACUGCUGCUUUUUCUCCACCGAUGAACCACGUAAGUUUCUCAUCCUAAACACAAGCACAAGUCCAAACCUUUGACGUGACCAGGUUGUUAGAUUUUCCCUUCUUUUCUCACACAUUUGGCAAUGCCUCCUUUCCUUUUUUGCCCAUAAUCGUGUUUCUGCCACUUUAUACCAAAAUUCUUCCCUCAAAAAAUCACCAAAUCCCAUGGUCUCUUUGUCACCACGGUCCUAUUUGAUCUCUCUCAGGACACCAUUUCCCCUUAUGUUCUCUCCUCCCCUCUUGGCAUUUUCCUCCCUCCCUGGGCUUCAGGGAUGAAGGUUCCACUCUGGACUCUGCUUUUCCCUCUCCCACCGUUUUGUCUUGGCUCCUUUCCAUCAGGGCUGCCAGGUUUAAACCAAGGGGUGGUCCCAUCCCUGGCUGGGCACUGGAAUCACCUGUGGGGCUUUAAGAACAGGCUGGACCCAGGUCCAUUCCUAGAUCAUACCCUCCAUAUAUGCUAUCCAGGUAUCUCUGUUUAUCAAAGCUCCGAGGAAGCUCUGGGAAGCAGAGGUGAAGACACUGACCUCUAUAUUAAGGAUUCCCCAGGGGACCUCUCCACUCAGGCCUCUCUUCUGAGCUCCAAAUGAACAUUUCCAUCUACUCACCAGAAGCUGCAUAGGAAGCUCAGAUCAACAGGUCAGAAAUGGAAUCACCGUCUGCCUCUCAGGGAGACAGAACACUCACCCUCAGCUUCAACUCCCCAUUUUUUCCCAGUUGCAUAUGGGUUUGGUGAGGACAGCUGCUAUCUCAAACGCUUCUCCUCCUCCCCAUCCCUACCACUUCUUUAGUUCUGCUUCUCACCCUGUGGCAUCUGAACAGCACCAUUGGGUUCCUAAUUGUUCUGAUGCUUUCCAGCUUCUCCCACUCCUUUCAUCCAAGCUUCUUUGAUUUUCUUUCUAGAAUGUAAAUCUUGUAACUUCUUCCCUUGUGAAAAUCCUAGGGUGGCCAUCCAACACCUUCCUGGCUGUGCUUCUCAAAUGGGUUCUUCAGGCCUGUUACUGGAACCACCCGCAAUGCCUGUUAAAAUGCAUGUUCCUAGGUCACACACCUGUAAUUCCAGCAGUUCGGGAGGCUGAAGCAGGAGCAUCACAAGCUCGAGGUCAGCCUCAGCAACUUAGCAAGGCCCUCAGCAAGGAAGCAAGACCCUGCCUCAAAAAAAGAAAGAGGGCUGGGGUGUGGCUCAGUGGUGAGGUGCCCCUAGUGCCCCCCGCCCCCCCCCAAAAGAAGUCGGGGUUUGGGGGCAGAGUUAGAAUCAGGCCCAGGUCUGUCUUUCCUUGGGGUCUGUACUCCUAACUGCUGUGCCAUAGUGCCUUGAGGGACUGGUGAUCCAGUUAGCAAGGCCCUGUACAGCCUCUUAUUUCUCGGGCCAGCACUGGCCCCUCCCUCUGGAGCCCUCUCACCACGGGGUCACACAUCCCCUUUCAUCCUCCACUUCAAAUGGAGGAUGCCUACUUUUCCUCCCUGUCCAGAGGCCAGGCCAUUUCCCCCUUGCCCACCUCCUCCCACCAGGGCUGCAAAGGGGCCUAGUGAUGAAUGGGACGGGAAAGCGGAAGGAAGAGCGGGAGGGGAGGGAGGGGAGGGAGGGGGAGGAGGGGGCAGAAGCCAGGCUCAGUGGGAUGGAGGGCGAGCAGAGGGCCAGAGCCACAAACCUUAAUUUAAUCACAGGGCCCCAUGCUCAAUUUAACAGACACAAGGGCUCAGAAUGGGGUCCCUGUGUGGCGGUGGGGCAAUCAGCCCGCUGCAGUUCCUGGGAAAGCAUUAAUUGCGGAUGACAAUGUGUAAACAGUGGGGAAGAAUGGAGUGUGCAGGUGUGAGCUGCUGGGGCCAACCCCGGGGCUGUUUUCACACAAGUGAGCCAGGGAGGGCUCCUCCACUCCAGAACAGGAUUAGAGGCAGCAAUUGGGGAACUGUCAAGGGUGUCUGAGCUUGGCUAGAGCAAGUGACCAGGAGGGCAGCCUGGGAGAGGAGGAGGGACUGGCAGGGUAGCAGGUUGGGGAGUGAACUGGUGUGUGUGUGUGUGUGUGUGUGUGUGUGUGUGUGUGUGGUGAGCUGCCCACAUCUGGCUUAACCCCCUGCCAAGCCAAUGGCUCUCUAAAACACAAGGCUGGAUUUUUAAUGACACUGGGUUGUCAGGGCCCUUGCAGCACAGGGCAGAGUGUGGGCCUUCCAUCCGCAUAGGCAAAGCAGGCCAGCUGUCAGGGAAACUGCAGGCAGCUCCCAGAAGCCUUGUCUUCUCCUCUUCUCCCAGAUGUGCUUGGGGAAGGCUAGGCCCAGGGAGGCCCCUGGGCCAGCAUGCUCUCCUGAACCGGCACAGAGGCCUGAUUGGGGUGGAUGAGAUGUCAGGGCAGGAUAGUGGUGGAAUUGGAGGGACGUUGAGAGACAAAUUCAGAAAUAUCUGGAUAUUGGAACGUUCCACCUGAACAUCUCAAAGCUCCUUUCCAAAGCAGUUUCUGAUUAGCAAAUGUAGAGACAGAGGUCCAGGAUGUGUAGGAUUGGGUGAGUUCCCAGCCUGGCCAUAGCUGGCUCCUGGAAUAAUCCACUUAAAACAAGCCCCACUAGACUCUGGAAUAUAAUGUAGUAUAAUAUGAAAUGAUAUGAUGUGACAUAGAUCAUUAUUAUUACUGUGGAUGCUGUUAACUGAGCUCUGGUCAACAGGGCAUUUAUGAAAAGCCCUGGGUCUACCUCAUGUGCAGCUCCCUAUGCUUCUCUUGUCUUCUAGAAGUUUUGUUGUAACUCUCUGGGGGCAAAGGCAAUGCCUUCAUUUCUCUUCUUCUUCCCAUGACUCUAGAACAAAUUGGCCCUCAGGAAUCCCAGGGUCCAGGCUUUAUGGUGCACUGUGUGUGUGUGUGUCCGCUUUGGGCAGCUGAUUGUCAUUGGAUUUCAGAAAGACAACUCUGGCCACUGUACAAUGGCUCCGGGGUGGAGGAACUUGAGGAGAUGUAACAAAUGAGAUGAGGAGUGAGGGGAGUCUGACCCGGGCCGGCUUGUGCUGGGGAGAUGAGUUCUCAGGUCUCAGGGCCGGAUGGCCAUGGGGCAUGGAAGCCUCAAGUUCCAAGGACUAGAUAGUGGCAGCUGUUCCUGUUCCUGUUCCUGGCAGGAAACUUAGAAUGAGGAGCAGCCCCCCAGGAGAAGAUAGCAAGUGGAAUUUGGAAUGAUUUUCUUUCUGAAGAUUACUAAGAACUCAAGGUCGUUAUGGUAAACUGAGGGCCAAGAAGAGACAGAUAGGAUUUCCUAAAAGGGUUGCAAUGCUGGGUCCCCAUGUCUACUUUCAGCCAAGGGCAGGGUGUGCUCCUGCUAGGUGAGGCCACGCUCAUUCUGAACACCUGCCAGGGCCCAGCCCUGGGCUAGGGAGAAGGCAGGACUACCUGGUAGUACAAAUGGCAACAGACUCAGAAGAGGAAAAGCUCAAGUUGGCUCUAAAAUAUCUCAUGCAAAACACUCAGAUGUCAACUGGACUCACUACCUUGAAUUUGUGUUUUCUUCAGGUAGCCUAUCAGUCCCUCCCCUGGUCUUUUAUCUUAAAUUUUUAAAGAGUGAUUAAUAUAUCCCCCCACCCCCCACAAGGUCCUGGCACUUAACGUGAGGUUAAAAACUUAAAUAACUUUCCUAUCAAAGGACGGUCAAUGGUAACUGGAUAUUGAAUACUCUGUUUUUGGGGGUCAUUUUCCUAUUUUUAAAAAUUUUUAUUUUUUAAUAUUUACUUUUUAGUUAUAGGUGGACACAACAUCUUUAUUUUAUUUUUAUGUGGUGUUGCGGAUCGAACCCAGUGCCUCACACAUGCUAUGCAAGCCUCUGAGCCACAACCCCAGCCCCCCUAUUUUAUUUUUUAAUUAUACUUUCUAGUAUAGUGAUUCUGGGUCCAGAGCCUGGGGUCAGAUCCCAACUCAACCACUUGCCAGUGUGUGCCGUUGGGCAGAUGUCCUUAAGCUUUCUAGGCCUCAGUUUAUCACCUGCAGAAUGGGGCCAAUAACAUGAAGAGCACGGCACUAUGUGAAGAUCAGAUGAGUUCAGGCAUGUACUUGCUUAGUAGCUAGCACAGGUCCAUAUUACAGGACAACUGGGGGUUUCCCAAUCUUCCCUGCUUCAGUCUUAGGGUUCUUCUUGGGAAGCCCUCUGGGUUUUCUGUUCUGUUAGUCCUGUACAGGAUGUUGGAUCCGUUUCUUGAUCCUUAAGGAUGAAAUCCUUCAAAGAGAUAAGGAUGGUCUAUGCCAAGAUUUGGAUCUUGAAUAUCCCCCCAAAGGAAAGGCCCAUGUGUUAAAGGCUUGGUCCUUGGCCUGUAACUCUGGGAUAGAGUGCUUGCCUAGGACGGGUAAGGCACUGGGUUUGUUCCCUGGCACCACAUAAAAAUAAACAAAUAAAAUAGAGGUGUUGUGUCCAUCUACAACUAAAACAGUAUUAAAAAAUAAAAGGGCUCAGUUGGUAGAGUGCUUGCCUCACAUGCAAAAGGAAAGCCCUGGGUUCAAUCCCUAGCACUGCGGAAAAACAAAACAAAACAAAACAAAACAAAAAACUCAGGUAAAGCCCAGCAGGAGGCCUUAGAUCCAUGGGGCAUACCCUCAAAGGAAGGGCAUUUUGGGAUUCUGCCCUUUCCACUGUUUACUUCCCAUCCAUCACGAGGUAAGCAGCUUCCUCUACUCUUGCUUCCAGUGCAAUGAACUGCCUCACCACAGGCCCAAAAGCAAUGAACAGGGACAAACAAACCAUGGACUGAAACCUCCGAAGCUAUGAGCUAAAAUAAAUCUUUCCUCUCCAAGUGUUUUGUUAUAGUCAUGGAAAGCUGACUAACACAUUCUGACAACUCAUUGUUCCUACUCUUCCAUCUGAGAUGCUUGUACUUGGACCAUGUGUCCUCAACAUUGGCAUUUCUUAAAUCAGUUAACAAAAAACUGAUGGACAGAUAUAGAGUAGCUAAUUAUUUUGGCUAGUAGAAAUAAUAAAGAACCAUCCUUAUAUCUCAUAGACACAUAAGCACCAAAAAUGUUGAAGGGGUACAGGACAUUGAUUAUUUUGACCACUAAAAUAUCAUUCACCUGCUUCAAGUAAUUGCCCCCAAUUUUUUGACGUGUCCUUCUCUCUCCCCAAGUCAUCCCCUGAUUCAGAGCUAAAGCAAGUGACAGGUGUAAGUCAAUCAUGGCUGCUUGUUCCUCUGUCCCCAGAAAUUGGGCAUGUGGCUCAACCAGAAGCAACGAGGCACAAAGAGCAUUUCUGGGGUUCUGAGAGAGAAGUGGUUGUUUCUUCCCUCUAUUCUUAUUAUAUGGAGCCCAAGACCUCAUGGAGAAAGGCAGAGUUAAAAGAUGAAGAUAGCUGGGUGCGGUGGCGCAUGCCUGUAAUCCCAGAGGCUCGGGAGGCUGAGGCAGGAGGACCACAAGUUCAAAGCCAGCUUAGCAACUUAGCAAGGCCCUAAGCAAUUUAGUGAGACCCUGUCUCUAAAUAAAAAAAUAAAAAUGGCUGGGAUGUGGCUCAGUGAUUAAGCGCCUCUGGGUUCAGUCUCUAGUACAAAAAUAAAUAAAUAAAUAAAUAAAGAUGAAGACAGUAUUUGAGCUCUAAGUCCAACCACACCUGAAGUUCCUGUUUUUUAUUUUAAAAUACCCUUAAAAUUUUUUUUAGUUGUAGACACAAUACCUUCAUUUUAUUUAUUUACCUUUAUGUGAUGCUGAGGAUUGAACCUAGUGUUUCACAUGUGCUAGGCAAGUGCUGUACCACUGAGUCACAAACCCAGCCCAUAAAAAUACCCUUUUUAUUUUAGAAUAGUUUUAGGUUUACAGAAACGCUGAAAAUGUUAACAGAGUGUUCUCAUAUAUUCUACAUCCAGUUUCUCUUAUUAACAUCUUACAUUAGUAUGAUACAUUUGUGACUUAAUGAAGUCAAUUAAUGAAUUUGUCAAUUAAUGAAGUGAUAUUAGUAUACUAUUAUUAAACAAAGUCCAUAUUUUAUUCAUGAUUUUUCUUAGUUUUUCCCCUAAUGCCCUUUUUCUGUUCCAAGAUCCCAUCCAGGACACACAUUACAUUUAGUCAUCAUGUUUCUUUGGGUUCCUUUUGGUUGUGACAGUUUCUCAAACUUUCCUUGUUUUUGGCAACAUUGGCAGUUUUAAUGAGUACUGGGAUUUUGUAGAAUACCCUUCAAUUGGGAUUUAUAUUUUUUCCCCUCAUAAUUAGAUGGUCUAUAUGGAGGAAGACCACGAAAUAAGGUGUUACUCUCAUCUCAUAAUAUCACACCAUACUGUCUAGGGAAAAUGCUAUCAGAAUGACCUAUCCCUGUUGACAUUGACCUUGAGCACCCGGCUAAGGUAAGGUUCAUGAAGUUUCUCCUAUGUAAUGUGACUCCUUUAUGGCCCCUUCCUUACUGUACUUUUUGGAAGAAAAUCAGCAUGUACAUCCUGUUCUUAGUCAGUGGGAAUCAUAUUUUUUUCCCUUAAAUUAUUUGCUAUGCUUCUGAGUGAUAGGUUUUUUUUUUCCUAUACUGAUUCAUUCAGUUGUUUAUGUAAGUAUAAACUCCUGGAUUUUUUUUUUAAAUACUUGGGGUUAUUUUCCAAUACUACUUUAUUUUGUUGCUCAAAUUGUUCCAGUUUUGAGCACCAGGAGGUCUUUCAGUUGGCUCCUAUGUCCUUUUGACAUACCCCCAUCUAGUGAUCAUCUGGAUUUUCCAGUUGACAUGAGCUAUCGAAUCCUUUCUAGUCUAAGUCAGUUUAGAUCAAGGUUGUUACUUGUAACCAAAAGAUCCUUAAAGGAAGAAAAGUCUUUAGAUGGCAUUAUUUGUUGCAAAUUUCAAGUUGUCCACAUUUUUCUUAUGUCAAUACAGCUAAAUGACAAUUUUACACUGGAAAGCACACAUCCUCCCCCAGGCUGUGGUGACCACUUUGUUGCGCUCUACAAUAAGUAGCAGGAGGCUGGGGACAUUAUAGGUGUGUGUGGUUCAACUUCAAACCUUCUGAUCUUAGCAGGUCACUUAAUUUCUGGGCUAUAGAAGAGGUGCUGGGAUUGAAGGAGAUUAGGAGAUAUCACAUUAUUGUGUUGUGAUCUGGAGGCCUAGUCUAUGCCCUGAUCUGUUGAACUGACUUCUGGAGAGUGUAACAGAGCUCCCAAAUUAGGGUUGCCAGAUAAAAUAUAUUACACUCAGUUAACCUAGAAUUUCAUAUAAGUAAUGAAGAAUUUUUAGUAUGUCUCAAAUACUGCAUGGGAGUAUACUUAUACUGAACAUUAUUAAUUGUUUAUCUGAAAUUCAGAGGAAUUUAUAUUUUUAUUUACUAAAUCUAGAAAUCCUAACUCAAAUACUCUCCCCUUUUUAGGUUUCUUAGGGCAUACACUCCAGGGAAAAUGACUCUGCAACUUCAGCUUCAUGAAUAGGGGAACCUGAGUCCCAUGCUGUCCAGGAAGAGCAGGACUUUGUGGUCAAACUCUCAUGAGGUCAAUUCUCUGCUCUACCAAUUCCGGCAAGUUGCUUAACCAUUUGACUCAGUUUUUGUACUUGGUUGUGCAAUGAGUUGAUAAUUCACAGAUGCCAUUAUUACACUUUGCAGGGUCUGACACCUAGUGGCAUACUCCGUCAAUGGUGGCUGCUACUGACAGCACUCUUAUCUGGACAGAUGUACAGGAAGUCCCGAGAAGGCAAGAGAAAGGGGAUCACAGCAAGGCUUCCUCACCCCCAACCCUGUCCCCUUCUUGAGUAGGUGGGAAUGCCAAAUUCCAGAAGCAGAGGCUGGAGAGUAUACGGGGUGUGAAGCAAUCUAUGAGGAUCCCUCUGGGGCCUGGGCUCUUUAUUGGAGCUCAGCAUCUCAGCCAGUGUCUAUUUUCUGAGGGGCUGAGGUUGAAGGGAGGACCCUGUGCUGAUAAUGGCUUGGAAGGGGUUAGUCCUGGAAGACGAAAAAGAAAACAAGUUUUUAAUCCUUUUUAAAAAUUUUUGGUAACAGGGAGCCACAUGCCCAGACUUUUUUUUUUUUUUUGGUAUUGGGGAUUUAACCCAGGACACUCUACUACUGAGUGACAUCCUCAGCCCUUUUUUUAAAUUUUGAAUCAAUGUCUCCCAAGUUGCUGAGGCUAGUUUUGAACUUUUGAUCCUCCUGCCUCAGCCUCCCAAGUCGCUGAGAUUAUAGGUUAGUGCCACCGCCUGCUUCACCUUAUUCUUUACAAGCUGGUCAGACAGGCACACAAAAUGACAGCUACAUUUACUGAGCCCUUAGUAUGUACUGGGCAGUUUUAUGUACUUUUUUUACAUUUUACUUCAUUUAAUCCUCACAAAUCCCCAGGUUAUAGGCAAAGAAACUGAGGCACAGAGGGACUAGGAAAUUUGUCCACCAUCUACAGUUAACAAAUGGGAUAGCCAGACAUUAGUGUCCUAGUCACACCCUCAGGACUUCAAACUAUUUCAUUUAGUUUUCUCAACAAUCCUCUGAGGCCAGUGUGAUUGUAUCUUCUUUGUGUAGCUGAGGACUCUGAGGUUUAUACAAUUUGCCCAAGGCCAUAAUUCACAGGGGCCUUGAUUCACUUGUGAAUUUCCAGCUUGCAGGUGCCUGGAGGUGUCAGGCAGGGGAGGGGGAGGCCAAAGAUGACCUUUCACCUCCGUGGCAGCCCUAGGAAGAAGUAGAAGCGCCUGCUUUAUGCCUUUGAUUUAUAAGGGGGGCAGGGGUUCAGACCCAGCUGUCAACUUGGAAGCCACUUGAGGAUUCUAUUUAAAAAAUUGCCUUGUACUUAUAAUAGUGGAGGGAAAACAACCACCACCACCCAAGCAAACAGGAAAACAACCUCAAAGUCCAAAAAUGGGGGAACAAGUUAAAUCAAUUAUGGUAUAAGCCCAAGAUGGUGUAUUUUGCAGCUGUUUAAAAAUACCACAUUUUCAAAGACUAUUAGCAUAAGAAAAUGCCUCCAGAUAUAAAUAAAAGCAGGAGAUAGAACUAUAAACACAAUGUGAUCCC